AUGAAAACCAAAUAUACAGCGUUAAAAUAAAAUAUGGAUCUAAAUCAUUCCCUUUUGUAAAAUUUGUAACAAAAUUUAAUAUGAAUGGAGUCAAUAGUUCAACGGAGUAGUGGACCCAAGAGCCAUAUCAAUGCUAUCAAAAUGGCAAAAUUCAUGUUGUAUUAAAGUUUUCCUGCAAGAGCUGUGGCACCUAAUGAUGUCUAAAGAAAAUAUGAAACUCCCUCAGCCAACUGAAGGUCUGUGUUACAGCA
rnacentral:lncRNA from 1 species